GAUGAACGCUGGCGGCGUGCCUAAUACAUGCAAGUCGAGCGACCGGACGAUAAGCUUGCUUUUCUGAUGUUAGCGGCUGACGGGUGAGUAACACGUGGAUAACCUACCUAUAUGACUGGGAUAACUUCGGGAAACCGGAGCUAAUACCGGAUAAUAUUUUGAACCGCAUGGUUCAAAAGUGAAAGACGGUCUUGCUGUCACUUAUAGAUGGAUCCGCGCUGCAUUAGCUAGUUGGUAAGGUAACGGCUUACCAAGGCAACGAUGCAUAGCCGACCUGAGAGGGUGAUCGGCCACACUGGAACUGAGACACGGUCCAGACUCCUACGGGAGGCAGCAGUAGGGAAUAUUCCGCAAUGGGCGAAAGCCUGACGGAGCAACGCCGCGUGAGUGAUGAAGGUCUUCGGAUCGUAAAACUCUGUUAUUAGGGAAGAACAGAUGUGGAAGUAACUGUGCACAUCUUGACGGUACCUAAUCAGAAAGCCACGGCUAACUACGUG
rnacentral:rRNA from 1 species